rnacentral:rRNA from 1 species
GACGAACCGUGCGAACGUUGUUCGGAAUCACUGGGCUUAAAGGGCGCGUAGGCGGCUCGCCAAGUCAGGGGUGAAAUCCUCCAGCUCAACUGGAGAAGUGCCUUUGAUACUGGCGAGCUCGAGCGAGGUAGGGGCGGAUGGAACUUCCGGUGGAGCGGUGAAAUGCGUUGAUAUCGGAAGGAACGCCGGUGGCGAAAGCGAUCCGCUGGACCUCUUCUGACGCUGAGGCGCGAAAGCUAGGGUAGCGAACGGG